UACGUAGGGGGCAAGCGUUUGUCCGGAUUUAUUGGGCGUAAAGAGCGUGUAGGCGGCCUGACAGGUCUGCUGUGAAAACUCGAGGCUCAACCUCGAGAUGUCGGCGGAAACCGUCUGGCUAGAGUCCGGAAGAGGAGAGUGGAAUUCCUGGUGUAGCGGUGAAAUGCGCAGAUAUCAGGAAGAACACCUAUGGCGAAGGCAGCUCUCUGGGCCGAAACUGACGCUGAGGAGCGAAAGCGUGGGGAGCAAACAGG
rnacentral:rRNA from 1 species